GACGAGGGGGCAAGCGUUGUUCGGAAUUAUUGGGCGUAAAGCGCUCGUAGGCGGGACUGGAAGUCCGUGUUGAAAGACCUCGGCUCAACUGAGGGACCGGCUCGGAUACUCUAGUUCUUGAGGCAAUCAGAGGGUGAUGGGAAUUCCCCGGUGUAGCGGUGAAAAUGCGUAGAUAUCGGGAGGAACACCAGUGGCGAAAGGCGA
rnacentral:rRNA from 1 species